GGGUGAGUAAUGUCUGGGAAACUGCCUGAUGGAGGGGGAUAACUACUGGAAACGGUAGCUAAUACCGCAUAACGUCGCAAGACCAAAGAGGGGGACCCUCGGGCCUCUUGCCAUCGGAUGUGCCCAGAUGGGAUUAGCUUGUUGGUGGGGUAACGGCUCACCAAGGCGACGAUCCCUAGCUGGUCUGAGAGGAUGACCAGCCACACUGGAACUGAGACACGGUCCAGACUCCUACGGGAGGCAGCAGUGGGGAAUAUUGCACAAUGGGCGCAAGCCUGAUGCAGCCAUGCCGCGUGUAUGAAGAAGGCCUUCGGGUUGUAAAGUACUUUCAGCGGGGAGGAAGGGAGUAAAGUUAAUACCUUUGCUCAUUGACGUUACCCGCAGAAGAAGCACCGGCUAACUCCGUGCCAGCAGCCGCGGUAAUACGGAGGGUGCAAGCGUUAAUCGGAAUUACUGGGCGUAAAGCGCACGCAGGCGGUUUGUUAAGUCAGAUGUGAAAUCCCCGGGCUCAACCUGGGAA
rnacentral:rRNA from 1 species